CAAAGAGGCACUUGGCUCACCCUAGAUCAAGAGGAGAGGCUCUCCAGAUUUGCUGACCUAGAAGGAUAAGUCUGAAAGUAGGAGGGUGGGGAGAGCCAGAUGAACAAGGGAGGUGAAAACGUGAUCUAGGGAGGCAUCCGAGUGAGCAAAGGCACGAGUGAGCCUGGUACACUUCUGGGCAGGCAGAAGGAAGGCAGUUAGGCUGUUAGGAAGGCAGUUAGGCUGCAGUGAAUUCUACAAAGAGGCUAUGGGAAAGAAACCUGGAAAGUACCCUUGGCUGUGUACAUUUGAGUAAAGAGAGCACUAUAAAAUCAAAAACCAAUGAAAUGGUUUCCAGAACACAGAACUAUUAAGCUUAAGAAAAGGACAGAAGGAACUGAAGAGAGAGGAACUGUUUUGGAGCAUCACACUUCCACCUCAGAAGAAAUAAGGAAGGAAGGAGGAGGGUGUUCCCACGGCUCUUCAACCAGGCCGGCUCUUCAGCCUACAUCCCCAUCUCAUCAAGUAAAAGGGAUUUUUCAACUGGACCAACCAGAUGGUUUAACAGUGCACUCCCACACCAUUCAACUACGCAAGGGAGAUACACUUAACAUAUGCAGUCGUAUAACACCUACUAACAUUUUCAAACAUUAAACCUUUAAAAAAGAGUUCUAAAGAAAUAGAAGCUUGAAGUAUCAUCUCUCAAGUAUAUAGACACUACUUCAUGGUGUGGUAAUAUAUGCAUAUAGAAGCUAGUAAACACCUCCAGGAGAUGCAAAAGGAAUUAGAACUGCCACAAGGUGCAAGCAAAACCUUGAGUUCUGUUUUUCCUCUUCUAAUCCUUCACCCAUCUGAGCUAAAGUCUAGACCUAAGGAGGCUACUAAUUCAGGGAUCGAGUAAUCUGCCAAGCAAGAGUUUAUUCAAGCACAGUUUGAAAUAAAGGUUUCAAAUGCAUAGCCUGUCGAUACUUUGGAAGGAUUCUCAUCAUAACGAGAUAUGGGAGGACACCUGAGACGGCAGGCCAGAAGUCACUCAGUAGGAGAAACAUCCGUUAGAAGUAAUAAUGUGGGAUUGCUGAAGUAAAGACUAUAGGAAGAAAAAAGUGUCUGUGUGUAGGAAACGGAAAGGGAGAGAAAAAUACACUGAGAUGGUAAAGUAAGGAAGUGGAAGAUCAGCAGAAUGUGCAGAUGCCAAGCCAUCCAAGAAAAUCAUCUCUUGUGAUUGUUGCGAAGUCAACUAGCUAAUGUGACUCACUGCUAGGCUGUUGGAUCUGAGACUUAUGUGGGAUAAUUUAGAAACUUGCUAGUGUCUUAAGAUCAAUUACUCACCAAUGAGAGUGGCAUUGAACUGUGAAUGUUCCUCCUAGAUUUUCCAUGAAGACUAAUGGUUUUGUCUUGUCUUGAAUUUGUUUUAAUUACAAUUUGUAUACAUCCUGUUCCACCCUGAAAUUUUUAUUUUCCAAAUGGUUUUUCAUUUAAAGAGACUAAAUAAAGGUUCUGACUGAGUUGUAC
rnacentral:lncRNA from 1 species